rnacentral:rRNA from 1 species
UCUUCGACCCGAACCCCAGCGGCGGAGCCGACGAAGAGGAGGAGACCAAGGCUCGACGGACAAGGGGAGGACCUCCGCUCUCUCGGCGAUCGCGAGACUACCCUCCUCAAGAUGGUGCUGAUGCAGGCAGAUCCGUUCCUGAGCGAGCUGACCAACAUGUACGAGCGGAGCACGGAGAAGGGCUCCGUGUGGGUCACCAUGAAGCGAUCAUCGAUGAAGUGUCAGGCUAGGUUGAAGAAGAUGGCGAGUAAGGGGGAGCCUGUUGAGUACCGGUGCCUGGUCCGCGCCUCCGAUGGCAAGAGGAACAUCUCCACCUCGCUGUCUGCAAAGGAGUAUCUGAAAUUCCAAGCUUCAUAUGCCCUGGUUCUUAAAGCCCACAUGCAUGCUUUGAAGAAGAGGGAGCGGAAGGACAGGAAGAAGACGGUCGAGGCAGAGAAGAUACCCGAGAAGGAACCGAAGAAGCAGAAGAAAUCAUCUUCGAAGAAAUCCGCUGGGUCUAAGUAGUGAGGUACUUGCAGAAUUUACUGAGACCUUUUUCGCCCACAUGUGCGGUCGAGACGUUGUCACCCGUUUUACCCUUAAUUCAUGUCCGCGAGAUGAAGCCUGUGAAUACCUAUAUAGAGACGCCUCGUCGCCUGGCAUUUUUGAAGCAGUGUUUUGUUCUGGUUGUAAGCCCCACCCUUGCCUCUAGAAAAGGCAUGCUUUCUUGAACUGCUAGAUCUGACAAUUGAAGCCUAGUAAGUACAAUUUGCAAUGGUUUCUCGGUUUGAUGGUGAAGAAUCUGUAGCUUUGGUUGCUGGUGUGUUUUAGCUUCGUGAUCUCAUGUCAAGUGGUUGCGAGAAUAUUGUUAUUUGCGGGUUAGGUAUGUUGCCUAAAGAAAUGGCACACCUCUCUCUGCAGCUGCUGAAUCAACAACAUGCAUCUGAGCCUGGUCGGGCGCUGCCAUCCUUCUAUGUUUGUCUAUAGUUAAUCAGUCUUGGAUGCCGUAUCUGCUUGCCCUCACCGCUGUUGCUUCCUGGCCAGUUGCCCUGCCAUGAUGCCAAUGCGUACGCAUAUCAUCAGAAUGAUUUUUUUUUGUUAGCCUCUGUGCCAAGUUUUGCGUUUAGAUCACAAUGUUUUUUUAUCUCAAUCUGAACAUGUUUUACCACUCGAAUGCAAGAAUCUGUGAAGUGUUCUUUUUAUAGAUCCGCACACGAAUCUUUGCCCAGUGAGGGAGAGCCGUCACCAUCCACCACCGAAACCGGACAAAAACCCAACAAAAAAUAAUCCGAAAGCCAACAAGGCUAGCACUGAUCGCUCACUGAUCCAUCAUCACCAAACGCCCCCGAGCUGAGCUCGCGCCGAGCUCCUCGUCCCCUCCCUUUGCCUGCCACCACCCACUCCCGAUCGCCUCCCCCGUCGCCACCCACCACCACCACCCCUCAAAAUCUCAUCUUUUGUUUCCUCAUCCCACUCCCCCACCACCACUCCUACCAUACCGCCACCAUGAGAGGCCUCCUCGCGUGCGCCACGCUGGCCCGCCGCGCCGCCGCCGCCUCAUCCACGGGCGCCGCCUCCACCACCGCCGCGCGCCGCCACCUUGCCGGCGCGGCGGAGGCGGCCGAGGCGGAGCUGAAGAAGACGGCGCUCUACGACUUCCACGUGGCGCACGGGGGCAAGAUGGUGCCCUUCGCCGGCUGGAGCAUGCCCAUCCAGUACAAGGACACCAUCAUGGACUCCACCCUCAACUGCCGCGCCAACGGCAGCCUCUUCGACGUCUCCCACAUGUGCGGCCUCAGCCUGCAGGGCCGCCAGGCCAUCCCCUUCCUCGAGUCCCUCGUCGUCGCCGACGUCGCCGCGCUCAAGGACGGCACGGGGUCCCUCACCGUCUUCACCAACGACAAGGGCGGCGCCAUCGACGACUCCGUCGUCACCAAGGUCAACGACCACCACGUCUACCUCGUCGUCAACGCCGGCUGCCGGGACAAGGACCUCGCCCACAUCGGCGCCCACAUGGAGGCGUUCCAGAAGAAGGGCGGCGACGUCAAGUGGCACGUCCACGACGAGCGCUCCCUCCUCGCCCUGCAGGGUCCUCUUGCUGCACCAACUCUCCAGGUGCUGACAAAGGAAGAUUUGAGCAAAAUGUACUUCAGUGAUUUCAAGAUGAUUGACAUCAAUGGAUCUGCUUGCUUCCUCACCAGAACUGGUUACACCGGCGAAGAUGGAUUUGAAAUCUCUGUCCCAUCAGAGAACGCGGUCGAUCUCGCAAAGGCCCUCCUGGAGAAAUCCGAAGGCAAGGUGAGGCUGACCGGCCUGGGCGCCCGAGACAGUCUCCGGCUGGAGGCCGGCCUCUGCCUGUACGGCAACGACAUGGAGCAGCACAUCACGCCGGUGGAGGCCGGCCUCUCGUGGGCGAUCGGCAAGCGGAGGAAAGCCGAGGGCGGCUUCCUGGGCGCGGAGGUGAUCCUGAAGCAGCUCAAGGAAGGGCCCAAGAUCAGGCGCGUGGGCAUCUUCUCGCAGGGGCCACCCCCGCGGAGCCACAGUGAGAUCGUGAGCGGCACCGGGGAGAACAUUGGCGAGGUGACGAGCGGCGGGUUCAGCCCGUGCCUGAAGAAGAACAUCGCCAUGGGGUACGUGAAGAACGGCCUGCACAAGGCCGGCACGGAGUUCAAGGUGGUCGUCCGCGGCAAGCAGUACGACGCCGUCGUCACCAAGAUGCCCUUCGUGCCCACCAAGUACUACAAGGCCCCUUAGGUUGUGUACAGAAGAGAAACAAUGGAUGGAUGCUCCCUGGACUGCAAAUUUUCUCUCGCGACUCUGCCCAUGGCGGCUUGUUCAUGGCAGGCUGCUGCAGCUGUAACCUCUGUCGGGCUUCCUCUUACAGCUUGACAUUUCUCCUCUACCCUUCUAAUAAUAAUAUUUGCCAGUGCGUUGUUUGCUAUCCCAGAAGCGAUCAUGUCAUGUGUGCUGAGGCAUAAAUCUAUCAGACAUACCACGGACGAGCUUUCGACCUGUGCUCCUUUGAGAUGUCCUCUUAUAAAGGUUAAGUGAACUACUCGUUUGUGGUAACCUUUC